GCGGGUGUAGCUCAGCUGGUAGAGCGUCAGAUUUCCAAUCUGAAUGUCGCCGGUUCGAACCCGGUCGCCCGCUCCA
rnacentral:tRNA from 1 species